UUGUAGGUGGUUCACGUGUGGAUCUCGUCAGCAUAUCGUCGCAAACAGGUAAUCCCCAACCAUAGUGGGCUUGGAGCUGUGAGGGAAUUUGGAGUGGCUACCCGUUCUGAAAGUUUGAUUUUCUUCUGGUGAACUGGACAUCCUUUUAUUUACGUUUGAAGUUUUGGGUUUUUAAAUGUAAUAAGGCCGCUUAAUUAUUUUUGAUGGUUUUAAUAUGUAUUACUAAGAUAGGUAUUACUUAUUUUAACUGUUGAAAUUGGAUAGCUUUAGGGCGCGUUUUCAAAAACAACAA